AGAGAGAAAAACAUAAAUGACAAACAAUCACGGUCAUAUACGUACAUAUAAAUAUACUUACUUACUUUCCAACUUUCUCCUGAACCCCUUUCUUUGCCUUCUUCUUGGCCCAUCUUUUAGUUCGU
rnacentral:ribozyme from 14 species